rnacentral:tRNA from 1 species
GCCUGGGUGGCACAGCGGUUAGGUGUCUGCCUUCAGCUCAGGGCGUGAUCCCGGCGUUAGGGAUCGAGCCCCACGCCAGGCU